rnacentral:rRNA from 1 species
GACGAACGCUGGCGGCGUGCCUAAUACAUGCAAGUAGAACGCUGAAGGAGGAGCUUGCUUCUCUGGAUGAGUUGCGAACGGGUGAGUAACGCGUAGGUAACCUGCCUGGUAGCGGGGGAUAACUAUUGGAAACGAUAGCUAAUACCGCAUAAUAGUAGAUGUUGCAUGACAUUUGCUUAAAAGGUGCAAUUGCAUCACUACCAGAUGGACCUGCGUUGUAUUAGCUAGUUGGUGGGGUAACGGCUCACCAAGGCGACGAUACAUAGCCGACCUGAGAGGGUGAUCGGCCACACUGGGACUGAGACACGGCCCAGACUCCUACGGGAGGCAGCAGUAGGGAAUCUUCGGCAAUGGACGGAAGUCUGACCGAGCAACGCCGCGUGAGUGAAGAAGGUUUUCGGAUCGUAAAGCUCUGUUGUAAGAGAAGAACGAGUGUGAGAGUGGAAAGUUCACACUGUGACGGUAUCUUACCAGAAAGGGACGGCUAACUACGUA